rnacentral:rRNA from 1 species
CAAGUCGCACGAGAAAUCCCGGGCAACUGGGAGAGUAAAGUGGCGAACGGGUGAGUAGCACGUGGGUAAUCUACCCUGAAGUUGGGAAUAACACCUCGAAAGGGGUGCUAAUACCCAAUAACAUCCCCGGGACCCCGGUCCUGAGGAUCAAAGAUGGCUGAGGCUUGCAAGCUAUUGCUUUAGGAUGAGCCCGCGCACCAUUAGCUAGUUGGUGGGGUAACGGCCCACCAAGGCCGUGAUGGUUAGCUGGUCUGAGAGGAUGGCCAGCCACACUGGAACUGAGAUACGGUCCAGACUCCUACGGGAGGCAGCAGUGAGGAAUCUUGCGCAAUGGGGGCAACCCUGACGCAGCAACGCCGCGUGAGUGAUGAAGGCCUUCGGGUCGUAAAGCUCUGUCAGAUGGGAAGAAAGUUCCGGGCGUGAACAGUUCCCGGGAUAGACGG